UACCAGCUCUCCGAGUUGUAGGGAUGAUUAUUGGGCUUAAAGCGUCCGUAGCUGGCUUAGCAAGUCUCCUGUUAAAUUCAGCGACCUAAUCGUUGAGCCGCGGGAGAUACCACUAGGCUAGGAGGCGGGAGAGGUCGACGGUACUUUCGGGGUAGGGGUGAAAUCCUAUAAUCCCGGGAGGACCACCAGUGGCGAAGGCUGUCGACUAGAACGCGCUCGACGGUGAGGGACGAAAGCUGGGGGAGCGAACCGGAUUAGAUACCCGGGUAGUCCCAGCUGUAAACUAUGCGGGCUGGGUGUUGGGGUGGCUACGGGCCACUUCAGUGCCGCAGGAAAGCCAUUAAGCCCGCCGCCUGGGGAGUACGGCCGCAAGGCUGAAACUUAAAGGAAUUGGCGGGGAGCACCACAAGGCGUGAAGCUUGCGGUUC
rnacentral:rRNA from 1 species